UUGGCAUAUUUAAAAACCUUAAUAUUUAUCGACCUUUAAAUAGGCUUUCAAAUUAGAUUAGAUUUUUUUUAUUUUGCAAAACAGAUCAGAUUGAAUCUCAUUUUAAGUCUGAACUAGUCCAACAUGCCAGGCUCAAGCUAAUACUUUGCAAUACUGAUCUGGUCCAUUUAAGCCAAAGCCUGAUCUGGCUUGGCCUAUUUCCACCCCUAGUCGAAAUCAGCCAUAACCAAUACAACUCCGAGCGACACAUCAUGGUCCGAGGAGGCUACCAUACCAAAUUGCC
rnacentral:lncRNA from 1 species